rnacentral:rRNA from 1 species
GACGAACGCUGGCGGCGUGCUUAACACAUGCAAGUCGUACGGUAAGGCCCUUUCGGGGGUACACGAGUGGCGAACGGGUGAGUAACACGUGAGUAACCUGCCCACAACUUUGGGAUAACGCUAGGAAACUGGUGCUAAUACUGGAUAUGUGCCCCUGCUGCAUGGUGGGGGUUGGAAAGCUCCGGCGGUUGUGGAUGGACUCGCGGCCUAUCAGCUUGUUGGUGGGGUAGUGGCCUACCAAGGCGGCGACGGGUAGCCGGCCUGAGAGGGUGACCGGCCACAUUGGGACUGAGAUACGGCCCAGACUCCGACGGGAGGCAGCAGUGGGGAAUAUUGCACAAUGGGCGCAAGCCUGAUGCAGCAACGCCGCGUGCGGGAUGACGGCCUUCGGGUUGUAAACCGCUUUCAGCAGGGACGAAGCUUUUUGUGACGGUACCUGCAGAAGAAGCACCGGCUAACUACGUG